UACGGGAGGGGCAAGCAUUAUUCGUAAGUACUGGGCGUAAAGGGUUUUUAGGCUGCUUUUUUAUAUAAUUACUAAAAUUUUAAAAAAAGCUUUAAGUGUUUUAUUUUAAAAGAGUAACAGAAAGAGGUUAGGAGUAUUUCUAAUGUAAGGGUAAUAUCUAGUGAGAUUAGUAAAGACUUUCAGAGGCGAAGGCGCCUAACUAUAAGUUACUAACGCUGACGAACGAAAGCAGGGGGAGCAAACGGG
rnacentral:rRNA from 1 species